rnacentral:rRNA from 1 species
UACGUAGGGGGGCGAGCGUUGUCCGGAUUCAUUGGGCGUAAAGAGCUCGUAGGCGGCUUGGCAAGUCGGAUGUGAAAACUCCAGGCUCAACCUGGAGCCGCCAUUCGAUACUGCUAUGGCUAGAGUCCGGUAGGGGAGUGUGGAAUUCCCGGUGUAGCGGUGAAAUGCGCAGAUAUCGGGAGGAACACCGAUGGCGAAGGCAGCACUCUGGGCCGGCACUGACGCUGAGGAGCGAAAGCGUGGGGAGCGAACAGG